AUGGGUAUCCACCUCAUGGAGGAUACGGAUACCCUCCUCAAGGUUACCCGCCACCGGGGGUCCCCUACCCUCCUCCCGGGACGUAUCCUCCUCCACCACAAUAUGGGUACCCUCAGCCAGGUGGCUACCCACCUCACGGUGGAUAUCCCCCCGUCGGCUACCCUGGCUACGGGGGUGGCCAUGGAGGACAUGGCUAUGGCGGCGGGCACAUGGGCUAUGGAGGCGGCUAUGGCGGCGGCGGCCAUGCUCUCGGGCACCACCACGGAGGCCACGGCUACGGCCAUUAUGGUCACGGAGGCCAUGGCUACGGACACCACGGUCACGGACACUACCACGGCGGGCACGGCUGGGGGCACCAUGGCCAUGGAUAUCACCACCACCACCACCACGGCAAGCAUGGUUACGGCAAGUUCAAGAAGUGCAAGUGAUUUGCGUCUGCGCACAGUGAUUGCGCCUCAUCAACUAUCUUAA
rnacentral:rRNA from 1 species